rnacentral:rRNA from 1 species
AUUGAACGCUGGCGGCAGGCCUAACACAUGCAAGUCGAGCGGAUGAAGGGAGCUUGCUCCUGGAUUCAGCGGCGGACGGGUGAGUAAUGCCUAGGAAUCUGCCUGGUAGUGGGGGAUAACGUCCGGAAACGGGCGCUAAUACCGCAUACGUCCUGAGGGAGAAAGUGGGGGAUCUUCGGACCUCACGCUAUCAGAUGAGCCUAGGUCGGAGUAGCUAGUUGGUGGGGUAAAGGCCUACCAAGGCGACGAUCCGUAACUGGUCUGAGAGGAUGAUCAGUCACACUGGAACUGAGACACGGUCCAGACUCCUACGGGAGGCAGCAGUGGGGAAUAUUGGACAGUGGGCGAAAGCCUGAUCCAGCCAGGCCGCGUGUGUGAAGAAGGUCUUCGGAUUGUAAAGCACUUUAAGUUGGGAGGAAGGGCAGUAAGUUAAUACCUUGCUGUUUUGACGUUACCAACAGAAUAAGCACCGGCUAACUUC